rnacentral:lncRNA from 1 species
UGUUUAAAAUUGAUUAAAAAUACAGCUUUGGAGUAGUUGAAUAUAACUGUUUAUUAAAUCUAAAAGAAACUUUCUCUCUGUCUAAUAUGAUGGAAUAUAUAAAAUAACUGUGUGUAACAUUAUAAAAUGUAGAUGUUUUAAGAUUCAUAAUUAAGAUUCGUAAUUAAUGUUGACACGUAUGUAUGAGGAAUUUAAAAAUGCUGAAGAUUUAUAAUUUUGAUAAAUUUACGUCUAUUAAUAUUAAUUAUACAGGGAUUAGAUUUUUUUUAUGAAAUUAAUUCUCCUGUUGAAUAUUUUUCCAAAUUAUGAAGAAAAUGUUACUCUCAUGUUAUUCUCAUGUGCUUUUAGCAUAGUAAUUAUUUUUCGACACAUUUAUUAUUUGUAUUUUCUUUUAUUAAGAACGCUUCCUGUAUAGCGAUGUUAUCAUGUUUUAAAAACGCGUGUUUUUUUGCAUUUAUUUUUUAUGCAGUAGUCUAGUUAGGUACAAAAAAUAUGCACAAAUAUUUUUUCUCAUACAGUGUGCACGCGUUCCAGAUUUUCAAAACGCUGUAAUAAUUUAAUAAAAACUUUACGUAACGACAUGUGGCAGAAAUUGAUUUUCCAUAUUCCACGUUUUUUGCUGAAUACAUGCUCUUUUGGCUAUGUUGAAUAUAUGCUCUUUUACCAUGACACCUACAUAUACAAAUAUCUUUUUAGAAAAUUACAUAUCUCUCAUAUUGUGUAUGUAAUAUCUUUAUAUACAAAAAUAUGUCUUAUUCUAAUCAGAUCUUUUAUUCCAGUGUUUCAGAAAAUAGUGAUCUAGAGUGACUUGUGUGUUGAGAAAGUUCUACGAAGUUGCUAACCAGGACGGUCUAAGAGGAGGAAGAGGCCUAAGGGAGACAUUAGGCAUCGGCGGAGCAACUUUGCGAAUCAUCGUAGUCGACGUUGCAGACAACUCCGCUGUUGCGCAUCGGUCGGUGAGUGAAGAAUGUUUUUUUACCGAGGUAAUGGACCUGUGACAAUUGGAGCAUAUGUAUGUCUCUCGAUAUGCGCAUACGUCAAAUUAGGACAGUGAAUUAUUACGUGAAAGUAUUUCAUGUCAUACAUGUCCAUUCUCUUAAAAUGUAAAAUAUCGCUUGACAUGAUUGCAAAUAUGUCGCAUGAAUGACUGUAAAUCUAAAUAAGAGCUUGACACAAAUUGGACUUUAUAAGUACAGGCCAAUUUAGAAAAAUUGAUAGCCGAGUUUAAUCAAGAUAUAUUUGAAUAUCUAUGUACAUUUUUUUUUAAAAUAGAGUUGAUUUUGCUGUGCGAUAUGAUGCAGCCGAUGAAAUUGGAGUAAAUUUAAAAUGUAAAGAAAUGCAAGAAUACUCGGCGAAAAUUUUAUUUUAUAAAAUAUUCAAUAUUCUAUAGACGAAAAAUUCUUUGGUAUACAACGCCUGGAAUUUAUUUUUUUUUUACGAUGUACAACGUGUUGUGUUUACGCAAGGCUAUACCAUUUGUGCGACGAGACUCGAGCAGCAAACAAGCAGUGGCAUGUCGCUACAUAUUCGUCGUUAUUACUUUUCAAAACGCAGUCAUUCUUUGAACAAUUAGCGAUUAUCAAUCCGUACAAUUGAUUGAUUUAAAUGUUAAUAAUUUAAUAAUUCAUAAGCGUACGCACAACAUUUUCAAAGCUGAUAUUUCGCUCGCUUUAUUCACUUUAUGUUGGAAGUGGAACGCUAACAAGUAGAAAUUAUAAAUUAUUGCAUUAUAUGAGAUACUUUCGAGCAAUAAUUUUAUUAUCAUGCUUAGGCUCGAAUAUGUCUCUCGUUCUUUUUUCCUAUUCAAACGUAAUUUGCGCACUAUUUUCAAAUUAAGAGCACAGAAUAAUGCAUAAAUUGCCGGCUUGAUUUAUGUAACGGAAAGCCGAGGCACAAAUCGAUUGCUCAUUAAUGAUAUUUCGCGUAAAUUUAUGCGUUUUCGUAAUUUAUGCGAUCAAGAUACAUUUAGUAGGGACAAUAUUAAAUUUUGAUUAUAUAUUUAAAGAUUAAAUAUUUCCACGGUGUUUUAUUUAGCUAACGUUUCGACUUUAUUAAUUAAUCGUAUCGUGUGGUAACGUAUUAACGUGUAAUCUUGAAAAUCUCGCACACCUGUGAGUGACGGAAUGGCAAUUUCGAGUUCAAUCUAUCUGGUAAUACAGAAUUUUUCUAGGUUUAUAGAGAGCAGCGGUAAAAAAAAGAGGAAUAUCACACUACGUGUGAUCACACUUCUCGCGCGCGCGUUACUCUUCCGUCACAAUGUAUAAUCAAAUGCACGUGUUAUAAUCAUAAAAUAAUCGCGUGCGAUUAACGUUGCAAGUGUCGUUUAAAACGCUGCGCGAUCAUUGUCUUCUGGUGAUUAGUGCGCGCACGAUCAUAAUUAACCGCGUUUUCGCGAGUGAGUAUUGUGUAAAUGACAAGAAGAGACCAAGAGAGGAGGGGGAAGAGGAUGGGGAGCCUGGGAGAGACAUCGUGGGCGACAACGAAAUAAUCAUGGGGUAAUGUAUUAUUGAAAUUUAUUAUUGUGCAAUCUAUAUACAUGUACGUAAAUGCGCAUUAAUUUCUUUAAAUGGAAUCUCUGAACUGUUCAUACGUGUACGAAUUCAUCAUGAGUGUAAAAUUACCUCUGAGUCCAUUAAUAGAUUAUUAGAGAGAUAGCAGACGGUAAUUUGUCACUGAAAUGUAUAAAAAAUUUUCGCGUGUUUUUAAAGAUAUUAAACGCGCACGAACGGUGUGCGAAGCUGGAGAGGAUAUUCCCAAGAGAUCGUAUAGUUUCCUUUGUUUUGAAACUAAACAUUUUUUUUUUUAACUAAUCCGUAGAUUAUCUGGAAGCAAACUGUCAUGGACAACAAGAUUGCGACACUUUUUCUUUCAAUGAAUUUUUGGAACGUACGAAAAUUACGAGGUCGAUCUCACGAUUUUUUGGGGGCAGUUUCUCAAUCGUGCUCUCGAACCCGUUGAAAGAAAAUGUUGCAACCUUUCUGUCCACGGCAGUAGUGUCGGUUGAUUCGGUUCGUGCAGAGAUAAAUUAAAAAAAAAAAUGAAUAAACACGCUUCGAACUGGUCGACGAUCAUCGUGUACAUCUCGUAGGGUUCGUUGUUUCCGUCUCCGUUUGGCCGAUCAAGAUCCCUCAAUUUCCCUUUCAACGGAUCGCCGCAAGAUCGAUGUGACGGCGAUGAACUUUCGUUGGCGAUCGGUCGCACCGGCUCUUGUCGGUAAUAUCACGAAAGGGCGUCCUCUUUUCCGUGACUCGAGGAACGUUAGUAAGUAAUACGCUUUUUUUCUCUCCUUUCAACGAUGUUAUCCAAUCCCGCGCUGUUGUCCUCCCGCGAAUCCUCUCAUGGUAUAAUGGAUGUCCUUCCAUCCGUCGGUGACAUUUCGCCUCCCGAGGAUUUGAGAUUGGCUAACAAGUCGUAAUAAGUUUCACGCGGAGAUCAUUAUUCUCUUAUUAGACUCCCCCCACGUCUGAUUGUUCCUUGUAUUAGGAAAGCAGACGCUUCGAGACGCAGAUGUAUAUAAUAAUAAUAAUGCCUUAUGCCACAUUAUCGUCUUAACUCUUACCGCGAGAUCGUUAGAAAAUCAAUUGAUUUUUAUCCAAGUCAUUUUACAAGAUAAUACAAGUAAUUAUCGAGUUUACUGUGUUGAAAUAUCAAUCCUAAUAUGUCAAUAACGGAUAAAGUAUAUUUAUUGCUUAUCCAUGUAAUAAAAUAAUCUGCGACCUCUUGUGACUCCUGUGUCGUUAUAUUUAAUAAGGAA